AAUUAGCCUGUGGGACCUGAGUCAGUUAAACUAUCGACUUUAGAAGGGAUCUUGGCAUGAGUGAUGGUGCCAAUAACCACAGAGAGAUGGCCUGAUUUUCCAGAAGAGAGGAUCCUAUUGCAAAACGGUCACUGGCAUCACCACAAAGAAAUGUUUUUGAAAAUAAGGAUGUUGCAAUGGCAAAUGAUGCCCUCCAAACUGUAGUCAAGGAAAGCGGAAUGAAAGAAUCUGCUGUCUCAGAGUUACAGAAAAGGUUAGAAAUUUCCGUCUCACUUUCUAGCCCCGAGACUUAAAUCAUAGACGAAUUGGAAGACAGAGAAUUUCUUGAACUAGCAUCACGAUUGAUUGGAGAAAAUGCUGUUGGCAAUGAGCAGAUUUCACAUAGUCAGGUCAGUUUUGUAUAUUGUAUAAUGUUCCUGCCUCUUCUACAACUAAUUGCGCCCUAUAUGGUGAUAUAAAGGCAGCUGAGGCAGUUCGUGACCAUUGGAGAAAAUCCACUCCACAAUCAAUACAACUGAAGGAGCUCAGCCCUCUACUUCGUGACUACGAAUGCUUGAUUGCACGCCAUCAUAUGGAGCACUCGAACAUUGUUCUUGUCCACUACCGCGAAGUAAAGGUUGCAUUUUUUUUCCCAAGAAAUUAGUAGGUGGAGUUGUAUAUCUAAAGUCAUAUUUUGGAAAUUAGUGAAUCAUAAUUUGAAUACUUUUCUUGAUUUGUAUGUUUGUAAGGUUGUUAUUAGCUUUGAUAUGAUAGAAAUUGAGGAUAGAAGCUAGUAUGCAGGUUAUUUGGUGGAUGGAUGUUAGUUUUUUUUUCUUAAUUCAUAGUUGUUGUUUCUGCUUGGUUUGUUCACAAGUUGCCGCACUUUAUAAGGUAUUGUCUUUGUUUGGUUGGAGGUGCAUACUGCUUUGUUUGGAGGAACAUACGGUUAGGCAAGGUUAUGUUCUUGUGUGUGUGUGUAUAUAUAAAAAAUAACUUUCUACGACAUUCAAAAUUAUGCCGUGAAAAGUGUAAUGAUUUAUGGCAUGUAAGAAAAUGUCCUAAAAGAUUAUAUACGACAUACAAAGUAUGUCAUAAAUAUAUUAAAAAUAAUUUUUUACGACAUGCAAAAUUAUGUCAUGAAAAGUGUAAU